rnacentral:rRNA from 1 species
AUUGAACGCUGGCGGCAGGCCUAACACAUGCAAGUCGAGCGGAUGAUUGGAGCUUGCUCCAUGAUUCAGCGGCGGACGGGUGAGUAAUGCCUAGGAAUCUGCCUGGUAGUGGGGGACAACGUUUCGAAAGGAACGCUAAUACCGCAUACGUCCUACGGGAGAAAGCAGGGGACCUUCGGGCCUUGCGCUAUCAGAUGAGCCUAGGUCGGAUUAGCUAGUAGGUGAGGUAAUGGCUCACCUAGGCGACGAUCCGUAACUGGUCUGAGAGGAUGAUCAGUCACACUGGAACUGAGACACGGCCCGGACUACUACGGGAGGCAGCAGUGGGGAAUAUUGGACAAUGGGCGAAAGCCUGAUCCAGCCAUGCCGCGUGUGUGAAGAAGGUCUUCGGAUUGUAAAGCACUUUAAGUUGGGAGGAAGGGUUGUACGUUAAUACCGUGCAAUUUUGACGUUACCGACAGAAUAAGCACCGGCUAACUCUGUGCCAGCCGCCGCCGUAAUAC